rnacentral:ncRNA from 1 species
CGAUCCGCCCGUUCCUCCAGUAAACCGUCUGCGUUCAGUAUCCCGGAACACGGUGCAAAUCCGUGGCGGUCCCGCCGCUGUAAUCGGGGACGCGGGGGCGCGAAGGGCGUCAAAGCCCGGCCACUGGCGGAAUUUCCGCCGGGAAGGUGCGCUUUCGCGGCAGAUCCGAGAGCCAGAAGACCUGCUGGACAUGGUUCAUCACGG